rnacentral:rRNA from 1 species
AUCAGUAGGGGGCCUAAGAGGGUGUACCCCCACACUGGUACUGAGACACGGACCAGACUCCUACGGGAGGCAGCAGUGAGGAAUAUUGGUCAAUGGAGGAAACUCUGAACCAGCUACGUCGCGUGCAGGAAGAAGGUCUUUUAGGUCGUAAACUGCUUUUGUGUAGAAAUAAAAUUUCCUACGUGAUAGGGAUUUGAAGGUACUAUACGAAUAAGUGUCGGCUAAUUCCGUGCCAGCAGCCGCGGCAAUACGGAUGACACAAGCGUUAUUCGGAUUUAUUGGGUUUAAAGGGUGUGUAGGCCGUUUAUUAAGUCAGUAGUGAAAGCUUACAGCUUAACUGUAAAAUUGCUAUUGAUACUGGUAAACUUGAGUAAGAUUGGAGUAUCUGGAAUGUAUGGUGUAGCGGUGAAAUGCAUAGAUAUCAUACAGAACACCGAUAGCGAAGGCAGGUUGCUAAAUCUUUACUGACGCUGAGUGCACGAAAGCGUGGGUAGCAAACAGGAUUAGAUACCCUGGUAGUCCACGCCCUAAACGAUGAUCACUAGCUAUUGGAAAAACUAUAUUCAGUGGCUUAGCGAAAGCGAUAAGUGAUCCACCUGGGAAGUACAGUCGCAAGAUUGAAACUCAAAGGAAUUGACGGGGGUCCGCACAAACGGUGGAGCAUGUGGUUUAAUUCGAUGAUACGCGAGGAACCUUACCAAGGCUUAAAUGUAUUACGAAUAAGCUGGAAACAGCUUAGUCUAUAUGACGUACUACAAGGUGCUGCAUGGUUGUCUUCAGUUCGUGCUGUGAAGUGUUUGGUUAAGUCCUAUAACGAGCGCAACCCUUAUUGUUAGUUGCCAUCGGGUAAAGCCGGGGACUCUAACAAAACUGCCGGUGUAAACUGUGAGGAAGGUGGGGAUGAUGUCAA